UACAGAGGUCCCAAGCGUUGUUCGGAUUCACUGGGCGUAAAGGGUGCGUAGGUGGUGGGGUAAGUCGGAUGUGAAAUCUCCGAGCUCAACUCGGAAAUGGCAUUGGAAACUACCCUGCUAGAGGGUCGGAGGGGGGACUGGAAUACUUGGUGUAGCAGUGAAAUGCGUAGAUAUCAAGUGGAACACCAGUGGCGAAGGCGAGUCCCUGGACGACUCCUGACACUGAGGCACGAAAGCUAGGGGAGCAAACAGG
rnacentral:rRNA from 1 species